rnacentral:other from 1 species
GUUUCCCUGGGGUUCUCGUGAUUGUCGAUUGAUUUUUGUACCUUUCUCAAAAAUCGGGAGCCGCUUCCCCGGACCGGUGCGCAUGCCCGCGCGAGCGGGGAGCCUGAUGGCCGGACAGCAGCGCCCACCUUGCAUGCAAGGUUCAAAAAAGUCGACGACACGGCUCUCCGGGGUUUGA